UAUCGUUAUACUCGAGAUAUUGCAAGUUCAACCUUGUGUGUGCGUUUCCGGCACGAUUUACAUGAUUGCGUUAUUAGCAUAGCCGGUCGCCAGUGCUCUUUAAUCAAAUCGCGACAGCGAUACGCGAUCUGAUAAAUAAUCACUCUGUUUGCAGGAAAGAGAGAAGCCGAGAUUGCGCGUGUAUUUCAUUCAUUUAUCCAUAUCGAGAGUCGUACAGCGAGGUUUGAAAACAUCUCUUGUUACACCAUAAAAGAUCAGAUAUUUCCGUAUGAAAGGGCACAACUGCGCAUACAAUGGCCCAACGAUAAGCCGAAGCGUCUUCAUAAUUCAAGGACUGAUAAUCACCUGAUGCUCUCGAAUGAUUAUCUCAGCCUCUGACGCAUCUCUCGGAUAUCAUGAUUGAAACGCAGACAAGAAAAUAAUAAUUGACGUGUCGCAUUCCUAUCGAUUGGUUCACUUCUCCAAUCUUAUCAUCAUAUUUCUCAUAAAAAUUCUUCGAUUGCAAGGUGUGACACAAUUUCGAAGGGCGCGUGGACGAACGAGGAAGUCCGAUAAACGUCUGCGGGACCUCAAAGUGAUGCGACCCAGGAUGCAAC